rnacentral:rRNA from 1 species
GACGAACGCUGGCGGCGUGCCUAACACAUGCAAGUCUAGGAGAAAAGGGUAGCAAUAUCCUGAGUAAACUGGCGAACGGGUGAGUAACACGUAGGUAAUCUACCUUGUAAACGGGAUAACCCGCGAAAGCGGGACUAAUACCCGAUGCAGUCUUGUUGUGGCAUCACGAUAAGAUGAAAGGCCCCAAAAGGCGUUACAAGAUGAACCUGCGUCCCAUUAGAUAGUUGGCGGGGUAAUGGCCCACCAAGUCGACGAUGGGUAGCUGGUCUGAGAGGACGGCCAGCCACACUGGAACUGAGACACGGUCCAGACUUCUACGGAAGGCAGCAGUGAGGAAUAUUGCUCAAUGGGCGCAAGCCUGAAGCAGCGACGCCGCGUGAGGGAUGAAAGCUC